CACGAGCAAUUCGUUAAUAGGACUUACCACUCAUCUUCCAUAAGGGCUCUUCUGAUAUAAGCUCAUUGGGCUUUCCUAGCUUCAUCAAGCUUUGCCUCAGCCAACUUCGCUACUUUGAAUUCGAAGAUUUCCUGACUUUAUCUUACGAAGAAAAUUUUUUUGUUAGAAAAUUUCAUGAAAAUAAAAAUAGGAAAUUCAUUGAUCGUUUGAUUACCCGCAAGUGAACGGGAUCAUGAACAAUUAAUAAAGUGGUGUGUAGAGUGUCGAACCCACAAGGACUAUGUGUUUGAUCGAGUUAACUCUAAUAAUUCCCUUAAUCGAAUAGCAAAGUCGAGUUGUAACUAACACUAUUAAAUCUAUUGACUAAAUAGAAAGCAAAGUUUAUCAAAUUUGCAAAAAGUAUUGCUAAGAUGUGGACUCCCCCUUGCUACUCAAUUUUUAGUUUAACAAUUUAAAUUGACGAUUUGAAAUCAUGCUUGUUAGUUAAUGUUCCAAUUUUAUUUAAAAACUUCUCUCGAUAGUCUUUAAAUCUAAUCCUACACAUGAUUUCCUUGUAUAUCUAUGAAAAAUAGGAACGUGCAAGAAAGUAUUAAGCGAGCUAGAACAUCCAUAAAAUCAUGUGAAGCAUACAUAUAUAUAUCUCUAUUCACUAUCGAACCUCGCAAUAUUUAUUUCUAUGUGCUAAUUAUCUUAUUAUCUUUCUCGAUGACAAUAAUACCCACAAACAAUUCAAUUAAUGGCCAGUUAAUUGAAAAGCAAAUGAAACAAUAAUAAAUAUCCAAACAAUUAAACAAAUUAUCAUCAAAUUAAUUAUUCAAAUUAAGAACUUCAUAGCACGGGUUCAUCACACCCUAACAAUAUUAAAAAAUUAGCCUAGCAUAGAGUUGGAAUUAAACAGGCAAAAGUUAAAAGACAUCACCGAAAAUUAACGGAAUGUGAAUCAAUUUUUUUUCCUCCAGAUGAGGCAGCUUUCUUCUUGUUCUUUCUCCGGAAAUCAGCCUUUUUCACUCAAAAAUAAGCUACCAUUUUAUAUGUUUUUUCUCUGUCAAUUAAGCCACCGAACACGUGUGUUUUCCGCCGUAAUUUUCAGCCUUUUCCUCCUCUGUUUGCAUGUAUAAUAUCCCUCAAAUUUUCCUCUAAUUCAGCCACCAAUUGCCCUUCAAUUUCUGCUUUUUUUUUCUUUUCCGUCCAGCCGCCUGUUUGCAUGUAUAAAUUCUGCCUCUUUUUCUCAAUUUCAGCAAAUGCCGACUUGUAUAUAUGUAAUCACCAAAACAGAUUCCCAAUUGUUGACAUGAAAAAGAACACCCAAAGUAGCCGCACUUUUUUCUCAAUGUUUUUUUCAACAAAAUUUCC
rnacentral:lncRNA from 1 species